UACAGAGGUCCCAAGCGUUACUGAGAAUCACUGGGUUUAAAGGGUGCGUAGGUGGUCCGUUAAGUCAGUUGUGAAGUCCCCGGGCUCAACCCGGGAACUGCUUCUGAUAUUGGCGGACUUGAGGCCAGUAGGGGUCACUAGAACUGACGGUGGAGCGGUGAAAUGCGUAGAUAUCGUCAGGAAUGCCGGUGGUGAAGACGGGUGAGUGGGCUGGUUCUGACACUGAGGCACGAAAGCGUGGGGAGCGAACGGG
rnacentral:rRNA from 1 species